UAUCUACAUAUUUUAAAAAAAAAAAAAAACAACGCCGGUGUCAUUCAUCACAGCUUCUUACCAAACGGCAUGAGCAUUACUGCAGAUGUGUACUGUAAAGAGCUAAACACAAUAAUGAGGAAGCUCGCACGUCUCCAACCAGCUUUGGUCAAUCGCUGGGCUCCGCUGCUCCUGCACGACAACGCGUGACCUCGUACUGCACAGCAGACGGUCUCCAAGUUACAAGAGCUGGAGUUGGAAGUUCUCCGUCAUCCACCGUACUCACCAGAUUUUGUCCUUACAG